CGCGCACGCCCUGGCUACGGGCUGCUUAGCUGGGCGUCCGGCACAAGGAGGGAUGCGCGCUCUCCUCUCUCCCCGAGUGGCGAAUGCCACAGCCUGCGUGAGGGACCCCUUGCCCCAGAAAGGCUUUCGCAGGAUGGCUGUGCCCGGAUGCUCACUGCCUGACACUUAAAUGGAGUUUGGAAACUGCAAACGAGUUGGAGGCCUUGGAAAAGGGGGGAGUGGCUGAACCAGGAUGGUAGCGCGAAGAGUGGAAAUCAUUGUUUUCUAACUCCGGAGUCCCUUUGACGCUCGGGAAGAUGCCCAGUGGAAAAGUACACCUCGGGACCAUCAGCUUUCCUUGGCCACGCCAGUUACCUGUGCGCCCAGAGAGGCAGCGGAUUCCACCGAAGAUAAAAACCCAGGCUAAGGCAUUCAAAGUUCACCCCAAAGCGCCUGUAUAACGUACCUUGUUCAGCUCCUGCUCAUAGACUCGUCCUCCGCCUGUCUGUGUGGUCCCGGAGGGUCGUGGAAGGAAGUUUCCAAAAUUGAGGUAAUAAGAAAUCAGAUGAAUUUGAGACGACCGGCCAAAAAAAAUAAGAAAUUUAAAAACAACAUUUAAAAAAAAAAUGGGGGGAGCCUUAAAUGUUUGGUUCUCCCCUCUUUGAGAAGAAAAUGCAUUAAUAUGCUCUUUUAUUAUUUCCGUUGCAUUUAAGUCUUCUAAAUUUUUUUGUUAAAUGUGCUUUAAAAAUAAAUUAAAUUUUCCCCUGUUUUGCUAUUUGCUCCAAUCCCCUUCCCUCCGACAAGGCAAAGUCUCCUUUUUCCACAUCAACCUAAAAGUCCGGUGAAGACUCAGCAGAGCCUAGCAAGAGCGGAAUGGAGGUCUUUGGCUGGUUCAAGUCCCCGGUUCAAUGGGCUGCUCAGAGCCAGGACUGGGUAAUUCUUUCCAGACGCCUUGACUUCUCCUUCUUCGCUGUUGUUGCCUUUCUGCCUCCUCCAACUUAAGGGGGUCUUAACUAGUGAGCCGGUGGGUGUUUUAAAAGGACGGAGGAGGGAG
ensembl:lncRNA